rnacentral:rRNA from 1 species
CCUACGGGAGGCAGCAGUGAGGAAUAUUGGUCAAUGGACGAGAGUCUGAACCAGCAAAGUAGCGUGAAGGAUGACUGCCCUAUGGGUUGUAAACUUCUUUUAUAUGGGAAUAAAAUAUUCCACGUGUGGGAUUUUGUAUGUACCAUAUGAAUAAGGAUCGGCUAACUCCGUGCCAGCAGCCGCGGUAAUACGGAGGAUCCGAGCGUUAUCCGGAUUUAUUGGGUUUAAAGGGAGCGUAGGUGGAUUGUUAAGUCAGUUGUGAAAUUUUGCGGCUCAACCGUAAAAGUGCAGUUGAAACUGGCAGUCUUGAGUACAGUAGAGGUAGGCGGAAUUCGUGGUGUAGCGGUGAAAUGCUUAGAUAGCACGAAGAACUCCGAUUGCGAAGGCAGCUCACUGGACUGCAACUGACACUGAUGCUCGAAAGUGUGGGUAUCAAACAGGAUUAGAUACCCUGGUAGUC